GGCUGGUCCAAUGGCAGUGGGUUAUCAGAACUUAUUAACAUUAGUGUCACUAAAGUUGGUAUCCCCCCCCCACUGCUAAAUUUGACUGAUUUAAA
rnacentral:Y_RNA from 1 species